UACGAGGGGUGCAAGCGUUGCUCGGAAUUAUUGGGCGUAAAGGGUAGGUAGGUGGUCUCAUUUGUCUGGGGUGAAAGCCUCGAGCUUAACUCGAGAAGUGCCUCGGAAACGGUGAGACUAGAGUCUUGGAGAGGGUCGUGGAAUUCCCGGUGUAGCGGUGAAAUGCGUAGAGAUCGGGAGGAACACCAAUGGCGAAGGCAGCUCGCUGGGACGUUACUGACGCUGAGACGCGAAAGCGUGGGGAGCAAACAGG
rnacentral:rRNA from 1 species